rnacentral:rRNA from 1 species
UACGUAGGGACCGAGCGUUGUCCGGAUUCAUUGGGCGUAAAGAGCUCGUAGGCGGCUGCUCAAGUCGAAUGUGAAAACUCGAGGCUCAACCUCGAGCCUGCAUUCGAUACUGGGCGGCUAGAGUCUGGUAGGGGGAUCUGGAAUUCCUGGUGUAGCGUUGGAAUGCGCAGAUAUCAGGAGGAACACCGGUGGCGAAGGCGGGAUCCUGGGCCAGUACUGACGCUGAGGAGCGAAAGCGUGGGGAGCAAACAGG